ACUGUUCUCUGGACAGCCAAGUGUAACAUCAGCAUUUUCCCAGACUACAGAAGUUAUUUCUGAGAUCUCACUGAUUCAGCCACCAGGAAAGAGGGAAAGCAAAAAGCAAGGAGUGGAAGGGGAUAAGGGUAUGUGAUGAAACCACGUAAAUUAUGUUUUAAACUUUUGACUUAUUGUUCUGAAAGGGACUCUGGCCCUUUUAGAAAGGAAGUUCUAAGAAGCUCUGAAACUUGAGGUACCUGCAAAGAUAACUUAGCUGUUGUUGUUGCUAAGGAACAAGUGUGUUUGAAUUGUGGUAUCAAUGUUACCAGCUCCUGCUCAAAUGGCAAAAAGUAAAGGAACGAUGUAAAAUCAGCAGUGGGGAAGGAACAGUUCAGUGUGAUAGGCCAAGGGUUAUUAUUUAAAAUCACCUCUUCUCUGAAAAAAUAUGGCCUCACAUUUGAGGAUCUCUUAUAAUUGUUCCCAUAAGCAUGCUGUCAUGUUGAGAGCAAUUCUGUGGAUAUGCCCAUGUGUUAUGGUGAGGAACUGAGGCCCUCAGAAAAACAGCCUAGAGAAACUGAAGCCUGCAGACAAUCAGGUGAAUAAGUUUGGAGGUGAAUCCUUCAUCUACAAUCAUGUCUUGAGAAAACUGCAGACUCAAGUAACAGCUUAGCUACAAACCCGUCUUUGAGCCAGAGGCACCCAGGUCCCAGAGUAAGAGUAGGCUCUACAACAGCCCAAGCUGACACGCAAGCUCUUCUGCCAACUGGAUCAUGUGAUUCAGAAGACCUGAAGCCACACUUACGGCCUCAUGGGGAGUUCCCCACAAUCAGUUGACUGAGGAAGAAAACAUUUGAAGUUUGUUUACAACCCAUUCUUCAUGAUAUUCAGG